rnacentral:lncRNA from 1 species
GUCGAGGGAUCACAAUACCAAGACUCUACAAACAGCCUAACGCACCGCACCGGCGUGCGUAUCAAACCCAAUAGCACAACGGAGGAGCAUCCACAAUCAAUGAGUGCCAAAGCUUAACACGAACCUUGUGCCAAAGCUUAACACGAACCUUGUGCCAAAGCUUAACACGAACCUUGUGCCAAAGCUUAACACGAACCUUGACUGAGCGCUCCGCCACGGAAGUUCAAGACGAUUAGCAAGUCGGGGAGGCGUCAUUGCGUCGUCAUUAAGCAAAGCUGAACCAAGACGAGACCAAGAGCCCGAGGCUCGCCUCAACAGAGCAGGGGCAUGAGCAUGCAUAGAGCAGGCC